rnacentral:tRNA from 1 species
AAGAGUGUAUGCAAGAACUGCUAAUUCACGCAACCAUAUGUAACAAUAUGGCAUUCUUA